rnacentral:tmRNA from 1 species
GCCCUUUUCAAAAGCCUGUGCCAACCCUAUGUUGGUUGUGCCGGAGCAAUCCGGAUAUGGCGAUAAAUGACCUGUGUAAUAAACCAUUCGGACCCGGGGGCGGUACCCGGCGCCUCCACCAGACGGCUUGUUUAAUAGCCAAUCGAAGCUGUCUGGCGGGGGCGAAAUAGGAUCGACGAGGGUGUAAAGACUGCGUUUUUGCUCGGCAUGGUACCCACCGAUAUCGGGCCAUUAUAGUAGUUGCAAAUGAUAACAACUAUGCAGAAGCACGGGUCGCAGCGUAAGCUGUGCCUCGACUUCGACUUUAAGUCCUAGGGGGUCAUAUCCUUAGGCGGGGUUCGGAGGCACCUGGCAACAGAAGCCUCCACU